rnacentral:rRNA from 1 species
UACGUAGGGUGCAAGCGUUAAUCGGAAUUACUGGGCGUAAAGCGUGCGCAGGCGGUGAUGUAAGACAGUUGUGAAAUCCCCGGGCUCAACCUGGGAACUGCAUCUGUGACUGCAUCGCUGGAGUGCGGCAGAGGGGGAUGGAAUUCCGCGUGUAGCAGUGAAAUGCGUAGAUAUGCGGAGGAACACCGGAUGGCGAAGGCAUCCCCUGGGCCUGCACUGACGCUCAUGCACGAAAGCCGUGGGGAGCAAACAGG